rnacentral:rRNA from 1 species
GAUGAACGCUGGCGGCGUGCUUAACACAUGCAAGUCGAACGAUGAAGCCCAGCUUGCUGGGUGGAUUAGUGGCGAACGGGUGAGUAACACGUGAGCAACCUGCCCCUGACUCUGGGAUAAGCGCUGGAAACGGCGUCUAAUACUGGAUACGAACAAGAAUCGCAUGGUUACUUGUUGGAAAGAUUUUUUGGUUGGGGAUGGGCUCGCGGCCUAUCAGCUUGUUGGUGAGGUAAUGGCUCACCAAGGCGUCGACGGGUAGCCGGCCUGAGAGGGUGACCGGCCACACUGGGACUGAGACACGGCCCAG